rnacentral:pre_miRNA from 1 species
UGAAGUCAGGCAUUGACUUCUCUCUAGAUAUUAAAGUCCUUAGGUAGACAUAGGUAGAU